rnacentral:rRNA from 1 species
CUACGGGACGCUGCAGUGGGGAAUAUUGCACAAUGGAGGAAACUCUGAUGCAGCAACGCCGCGUGGAGGAUGCCCCUUUUCUUAUCUUCCCCUCCUUUUAUAUAGGAAGAAGAUGACGGUACUAUAUGAAUAAGCGCCGGCUAACUCCGUGCCAGCAGCCGCGGUAAUACGGGAGGGCGCAAGCGUUACUCGGAAUCACUGGGCGUAAAGAGCGUGUAGGCGGAUUAAAAAGUCAGAAGUGAAAUCCUAUAGCUUAACUAUAGAACUGCUUCUGAAACUCUUAAUCUAGAAUAUGGGAGAGGUAGAUGGAAUUUCUGGUGUAGGGGUAAAAUCCGUAGAGACCAGAAGGAAUACCGAUUGCGAAGGCGAUCUACUAGAACAUUAUUGACGCUGAGACGCGAAAGCGUGGGGAGCAAACAGGAUUAGAUACCCCCGUAGUC